rnacentral:rRNA from 1 species
UACGAAGGGUGCAAGCGUUACUCGGAAUUACUGGGCGUAAAGCGUGCGUAGGUGGUGAGUUAAGUCUGUCGUGAAAGCCCCGGGCUCAACCUGGGAAUGGCGAUGGAUACUGGCUCGCUAGAGUGCGGUAGAGGAGAGUGGAAUUCCCGGUGUAGCAGUGAAAUGCGUAGAUAUCGAGAGGAACACCUGCGGCGAAGGCGGGUUGCUGGGCUGAUACUGACGCUGAGGCGCGAAAGCCAGGGGAGCGAACGGG